AACGAACGCUGGCGGCAGGCUUAACACAUGCAAGUCGAACGAUCUCUUCGGAGGUAGUGGCAGACGGGUGAGUAACACGUGGGAACGUACCUUUCAGUCAGGAAUAACUCAUGGAAACGUGAGCUAAUACCCGAUACGCCCUUUUGGGGAAAGAUUUAUCGCUGAAAGAUCGGCCCGCGUCUGAUUAGCUGGUUGGUGGGGUAAUGGCCUACCAAGGCGACGAUCAGUAGCUGGUCUGAGAGGAUGAUCAGCCACACUGGGACUGAGACACGGCCCAGACUCCUACGGGAGGCAGCAGUGGGGAAUAUUGGACAAUGGGCGCAAGCCUGAUCCAGCCAUGCCGCGUGAGUGAUGACGGCCUUAGGGUUGUAAAGCUCUUUCGACGGGGACGAUAAUGACGGUACCCGUAGAAGAAGCCCCGGCUAACUUCGUGCCAGCCGCCGCCGUAAGAC
rnacentral:rRNA from 1 species